AACCAUUCCCAGUGUAAGAACUAAAAUUGCUGCGCAUAAAUUUUCAUUUUACGUUGAAAGUGGAAUAAACAACCUAAUUGGAUUUUUAUCGGUUUUCCAAAAAAGUGUUUGGAACAACAAAUCGGACACAUCAAAUGACGAAGAAGAAGAUGGACACAUUUUUAGGUCUUACACAGGGAAUCGUUCACAAACCGACCAAACGACGUCGUAAUCCGGAAAAUAUGAAUACAAAGGAUUGUUUCUUAGUUUGACUCAACUACGAACCGGUCCGCAAUCGUGUUCUUCCCGGCAAAAAUUAAAUGAAUUUUCUCCCCGGACGUCUUCCGUAGUUUGCUCCGUCUACGAGUAAUUUACGUUGUAUGAAUUUCUUGAUUCACGGAACUGGAUAUCUUGAUUCACAUUUUAUACUUGAUUCACGCUUAUUUUACACUAUUGUAGACUGAUAUUGAUUUAUUAACUAAUAGUGAUUUAAUUUGUGUUUCAUUUCUUUUUUCCUGAUUGAUAGGUAAACCAGUACUAUUCCAUAGUGAGCAUAUUAAUGGCAUUUUUUCUCUUUUCACAGUGAUCAACGAUCUCAACACU